GACAGAGCUGAGUCGCUCACAACUGAGUUUAAUUGUGAGACCAUAAUGGGCAAAGGGGGUUGUAGGGAGAAGGAGUGUACUUAACAGCUGGUAACUAUCGGCUGCUAUUGUGGAGCCUUGGAACAGCUGCACCACCUUAGUCCUAGGUGAGUCUCCAGGGUUAAGGAAGGGCAUGGCUGAAGAGCUGGGAUACUUGGGAUACUUCACUGGCUAUGCACCAUGCUUCUUCAAGGAUGUAGACUUUGGGGGAUGCAGCCAGGAGAAUUAAGAAGUAGAAAGUCAUCUCCCAGCACAAUGAACACCACUGAUAAAGAAAACUCAUCUGACCUUACAGAAAUAGAAGAUACAUCAGAGAUAAUAGAAUCAUCAAAGACAGAGGAUAUUGCUGAUGCCACACAGAACGUGGUGAAUGCCGAGAAAAAUUCAUUUUUUUGCCCGCUCUCAAAAUUGCUUUUAUCAGCUGACGCUUUGAUAAAGGAAAACGAAAAAAUCCAUAACUUAAGAAAACAUGAUAUUUCCAUUACAGAAGCAAAGAACUAUCUUCUUCAAGUCUUAAACAUCAUAUCACUAGAAACACUGAGUCAUAGAGUGCCAACAGAGUUUGCUCAGCCUAUUGCUUUCAAAGGCAAGUGUCAUAUUUCUGACCCAAAAGAAAUGAUUAAAAUCCUACACCGCACCUUAUUAGCAAUUAAUGGACCAGGAACAUUAACUGAAAACCGCUCAAUGCCUUCCAGAGCAAUUGCCUUGAUGAACAAAAUUUCCCUGCCAAUGCACAUUUUUCCUUAUGAGAUGCUUGCCCAUCAUUGUCUCCCUUUCUUGUUACCUUUCCUAAUAAGAGAUGACAUUCUGAAUGAGAAGAUUUUCUGUAGGAUAGUCCUUUUCAACAUCGUUCUUCCCAAAGGGAAAGUCUUCAGGCCGCAAGCAAAGAGACAAAAACAUUAUGAAAAAUUGCUCCAUCCAGAAAAACAAUUCAUGGAUCUGAAAGACCUCCAGCGGAAAUAUUAUAAGGGCAUUUUGAAGUGGAAACGAAAGUCCCGGAUGCUGUUCAAAGACCCAUCUUUUGUUAUUGAAAAGGCAUUUGUACCAGAAAUGAUCUCACUUGAUUAUAAACCCACCGUCAUUUUUAAGCUGGUCAGAAGUACUGAUUUUAAUUCACCAUAAAGAGUGGGUUGUUUGUAUUAAGUAGAAUCUUACAUUAAAUAAAACAAUGCACAUCUAUGAUGAUGAUUUUUUC
rnacentral:lncRNA from 1 species